CUGAGAGUUUUUUGUGAGCUGCCUGCCAGCGCUCACAAAAAACUCUGCGCCUGUGGUAAGGUUGUGUUACAUAAGUUAAUUUGGCUAUCAGUCAUUGGGUGUGUUGAUAUGUGCAAGCGUAAAGAUAAAAACCACAAACAAAAGUUUUCCGUGCAUUCGAACCAAAAUGUGCGACAAGGGUUGAGUAAACAACAUAGCGAAAAUCAUCUGUCACUGGAAACAUAGCGAAAGUCGCUGACUGUAGUUCCGGUCAAACACACACGAGGCAGAUACAAGUGGUUCGUUGGGCCGACAGCAGCUACCAAAGUUUUCAGGUCCGGAAAAUCCGAACCUAAAAGUGAUCCGGCCGAAACAAAUACUGCCAGUUCGACAGCCCCUUAAGUCGGGGACGGCGCUAAUCCAACCUAAAAGUGCUCCCGCCGAAACAAAUACUCCCAGUUCGACAGACCCUCAAGUCGGGGACGGCGCUAAUCCUUCCGCCUCAGGCAUUCCUUGCGUUCGAGGACCAUUUUCGAUCGCCGCAUCAAGGCCCAGCCGAAGACAGACGGCCCAGCCGAAGACAGACGGCCCAGCUGAAGACAGACAAAAAGCCUUCUGGAUCAGAAGUAAGUUUACACCCUACAGUUGAUAACGAUAAAUAUUAAGGGACUUGUUUCCCUUCAGGGCUUUUUCUUUACUGUGGCUGGAGUAGCGGAAAUUCAAGAUCUGAGCACGAGGGAGUACGACUGCCAACCGGAUUGCAUGACUUCGGGAUUCAAGUGCGAGCGAGCACGACUAUCGACCGGAUCGCACGCCUUUGGGACCCGAGCGCGAGCAAGUGCGAUUGCCGGCUGGAUUUCAUGGGAAGAGCAGGAGAUUGGGCGUGCUACUUUGGGCGAGCCACGAGUCAAACCAAGAAUUCGCGGGAGACGACGACCUCAGUGGGCCGCCAGAUUGGAGCUGUGAAGGGAUACUAGCUAGUCGUCGAGGCGAGCUGUGGCAGACGGCCUUAAGGAACGUCGGAAGCCUUGGAACAGCCAACAGCAGGAGAUUCCGGAGGAUCACGGUGACGUCCGGAUGGUUUGGGUGCACCCAGAAGAACCGUGAGUAGGAAGAAAGAGAAUGAAGAGAAAGAAUAAGAAAGAAGUUAGAGAAGCAGGGUGCUAGGUAGCUAGAACAGAGAGGAUGUUUGUGGCCCGGAAGUCGUAAUAAAGCUUGCACAGUAUGUUAUGAA